CCUACGGGAGGCAGCAGUAGGGAAUUUUCGUCAAUGGGCGCAAGCCUGAACGAGCAAUGCCGCGUGAACGAGGAAGGUCUUCGGAUCGUAAAGUUCUGUUGAAGGGGAAAAAGAGCGGAGAGAGGAAAUGCUUUCUGAUUGAUAUUACCCUUCGAGGAAGUCACGGCUAACUACGUGCCAGCAGCCGCGGUAAUACGUAGGUGGCGAGCGUUAUCCGGAAUGAUUGGGCGUAAAGGGUGCGUGGGCGGCCUGCUAAGUCUGGAGUGAAAGGUACCGGCUCAACCGGUACAGGCUCUGGAAACUGGCAGGCUAGAGAGCAGGAGAGGGCGGUGGAACUCCAUGUGUAGCGGUAAAAUGCAUAGAUAUCACACAGAACACCGAUUGCGAAGGCAUCUCACGAAUCCGCGAUUGACGCUGAUGCACGAAAGCGUGGGUAUCAAACAGGAUUAGAUACCCGUGUAGUC
rnacentral:rRNA from 1 species